rnacentral:lncRNA from 10 species
GGGAUUUUGGCUGUAAGUAUAAGCAAGCCAGGGGCUACCCUGGCCCUUGGGGAGCUGAGUCCCAACCAAAAAAGUUACACAGUUUUUAAGAUCUGUGGCAGACUUAGGUGCUGCCUUUCUCAUUCAUCCCAGAGCACCUUCACACAUCUACUGGUUCACAUAGUAACAAAAACGAAAGAGCUAGAUCAUUCUCCAAAUUCUCCAAGAGAUCAAACCAAGCUGCAAGCAAGCAGCUAGUCCCCUAGUUAUUGCCAGCUCCAUUGCUGGUCUUUUGCACUUGCCCCAGCCACCACCAAGCUGGCUGGCUGUGGCGGAGUCCCUGUUGCGGGUGUCUUUGCUCAGGCCUGCCUGCUGCCUGCUCACAGCACCCCUCCUGACUCAGCCUCUGCUUUCUAGCUCCCAGCUUGGCUCUGGCCUGGCCCUUCUCCAGCUUUUACCCUUUUCCCAAUUCCCUCUGCAACAGAUUGACCUCCGUUCCUCUCAGGACCAUGUGGGCCUCCUUGACUCAGGAACAUCCUGCAGCUCUGGGUGGGUGGCACACCCUCCACCCACCCUCGGGGCCUGUGGGACUGAAGGCCAGGCACACUGUCAUUCAGAAAGGAUGACAAGUUGCAACUAACCAAACUCCCACUGCACUCAGGGCUAACUGUCUUGAUUUUAUUUCCCCACUGUAGAAAUUGCCGAUGCCUGAUAUUACGAAGAGGCUGGGACAAGGAAAGAGCUCUCUGUACCCCAUCUGAGAGAGAGGAAGAGACAUGCCCUGGGCUAGAGUGUUACCAAUUUAAUCUUUUUUUUUUUUUUUUUUUUUUUUUAAUGAGACAGAGUUUCACUCUUGUUGCCCAAACUGGAGUGCAGUGGUGUGAUCUCGGCUCACCACAAUGUCCGCCUCCUGGGUUCAAGUGAUUCUCCUGCCUCUGCUUCCUGAGUAGCUGGGAUUACGGGCCUGCACCACCAUGCCUGGCUAAUUUUGUAUUUUUAGUAGAGAUGGGGUUUCUCCAUGUUGGUCAGGCUGGUCUCCAACUCCUAACCUCAAAUGAUCCACCCGCCUUGGCCUCCCAAAAUGCUGGGAUUACAGGCGCAAGUCACCGCGCCCAGCCUUCAAUUUAAUCUUUACUAUAGCCUUGCCUGACAAGUCAUAUGGCAGAACAACAGUGGAGGAGGAGGACGAUAGGACUGUUCUCCAAGAAUCUGGACAUGAGGGAAAUGGAGUGACCUUCAGAAAGUACACCAUUUUGUCAGGCAUGACAACUGGCUUUUCAGCUUCAGGAAUGAAUAUGGACAACUUGAAGGAAGGCUUGCCAAGAUCCCAGUGGAGCCUCAGAUGCA